rnacentral:rRNA from 1 species
GGAUGAACGCUGGCGGCGUGCUUAACACAUGCAAGUCGAACGGGGUUUAGGGAGAGCUUGCUUUUGGUAAACCUAGUGGCGGACGGGUGAGUAACGCGUGAGUAACCUGCCUUAGACUGGGGGAUAACACUUAGAAAUAGGUGCUAAUACCGCAUAAGCGCACAGUGCCGCAUGGCACAGUGUGAAAAACUCCGGUGGUCUAAGAUGGACUCGCGUCUGAUUAGCUAGUUGGUGAGGUAACGGCCCACCAAGGCGACGAUCAGUAGCCGGCCUGAGAGGGUGAACGGCCACAUUGGGACUGAGACACGGCCCAAACUCCUACGGGAGGCAGCAGUGGGGGAUAUUGCACAAUGGGCGAAAGCCUGAUGCAGCGACGCCGCGUGAGUGAAGAAGUAUUUCGGUAUGUAAAGCUCUAUCAGCAGGGAAGAAA